GAAUGGCUGUCUAUAAAGUACUGAGCCAUGACACCUAAGAUGAAGGGAAUGGUAAAGCAGAGUAAUGACUCAAAGCUGCCACCGAGAGCUUCUGACUACCUUUAACUCAUUGUGGCAAAGUUGGACAUUCCAAAGAUGGCGUAGAUGAACAUGACCAGGAAGAGCAGGAGGCCGAUGUUAAACAAGGCAGGAAGGGACAUCAUCAGAGCAAAGAGCAGCGUGCGGAUCCCCUUGGCCCCUUUGAUCAGACGCAAGAUUCGACCAAUCCUGGCGAGCCGGAUCACUCGGAACAGGCACUUUUAGAGCUCAGUUUGGAUGUUUCGGAGGAACUCUCAGAGAAGCCCAUCAUUCUGCUUCUCCCAAUACUUGUGUACUCAGCUGCUGCAAUUGCAAUUGCCUGUUGGACCAAGAGGCCACACGUACAGAACUCCAUGUUGCACUCUGCAGUGGUUCCCAGCAAUGUGUGAGAAAGUCUGCCUCCCCACAUCUCAGCCAGACAGCGUCUCUCUUUUUGAUCUCCAACCAUUCUAAGCGAGCCUGGUGAAGAAAUAUCUGGUCAGAGGGAGACCAAGAACAAAGGCUCUGCCUUCAUAAAUGAAAUC